GGAUGUGAAGGCAAUCUGGCUGUGACAUCUAUCACCCCAUUGAUUGCCAGGGUUGAUUUGGCUGAUCUGGCUGCCUAGGUGAGUGUCCCCUUCCUCCCUCAUCACUCCAUGUGCAUCCUUCUGGAAGCUGUGCACCUGGCCAAAGAGGAGGGUGACCUUUCCUGAUAGAGGAAGGCUGGUCUCUGGUCAAGGGUAUAUGAGUAGCUACACUCUCCUGCUAGAACCUCCAUACAAGUUCUCAAGAAAUUAUUAUGAACAAUUUUUUUCCUUCUUUUUUGAGACAGGGUCUCCGUAGCCCCAGCUGGCCUGGAACUCGCUAUGUAGACCAAGCU
rnacentral:snRNA from 1 species